CUGGGAUGUAUUGCCCUUUAAAGACAUGAUUUGGGCACAAUGGAUUUGUAUUGUGCUGCUGCUGGCCCUUUAAGAACCAUCUGGGGACAUACUGUGGAGUUACUGGGUGGCCACCAUUUCCUGUAUCAGAGGCACAUGGUGAGAACAAUGGAUGAAGCACAUGGUGAGAACAAUGGAUGGCGGCCAUUUUAACUCACAGACACUGUUUGGACUUUCCAACACUGUGCCAUCUCGCCAGUAUUUGGUGCACAGAGACAUCGUGCAGUGGUUUUGGACUAUACAACAGGGGACACCUUAUACAGUAAUUGUUUUUCAUAUAGCCUGCAUAUGUUCUGUAGAAUCUGCAUUAAACUGUAUCUUCCAAAGUACUGAACGGAUCUGGGUGAAUUUUGGAUAUGUGGUUCACCCAGAUCCCCCGGUUCCAAGGAUAUACUUUUUAUGGGGUUAUUGCAAGUUUUGGGGUCCCUGUGAUGUGUUUUAUGAAACUGUAUUUUUCCUGCUUGUGAUAAUUAUGUUAACCCAUUGUGUGCCAUAAUUAGAUCACAGGCAGGGGGAGGAUUUUGUGUAUAAUUGCUGGGAGUGUUUUCUGUAAUAUACGUGUGUUAUUGGUUGUUCUGUAAAACCCUGUGGGCAGUACUUAGUUUGUGGAUUGGGAAUAAAAGAG